ensembl:lncRNA
CGCGGUUUUCCCGCGGAAUUGUGCUAUUUUAACACGGUUGCCGCGGGUUGAAGCGACCCCAAUAACGGAAUGCGACUUUUACCAGGGUAACCCUACCAAAAAACGUGUAUUUUACCCCCCGGAAUGCGAUUGGGCUAGUUUUGAGCUAGUUUUGAGUAGCAAUUGGGCGGGAUUUGUUGUGAAAACCUGGCAACCCUGCGCCGCUCCUGCAUUUCAAAGGCCUGAUGAGAUUCCUCACGUUGAGCUUUGGUAAAAGUAACGUUAGUUAAAGAAAGCGCUGAAAGAAACACGUUCAUCACAGACAGAGGAGCGUUUCUUACACGGAUGUUCGGGAAGUGAUUAUUCCACUCCUACAUUCUGCCUGGAGAUACAAUUGAACAUUCAGUAGCAUGCAAGCCAAUUCACAACAUUCAGGACAACUGCAAAAUUUGCAUGGAAAAGGAGCUGCACCUGGAGACGGGACGGGCCAAAACUUUUACCAGCUAUGUUUACAACCUUACACUGCAAGUCCCUCAUAUCCUGGACAAAGUGCCACUGGAAAUUACUUCACCUGCACAAUCCAACCGGCAACCAGUGACCAGAUUUUGACUAGUAGCGUUCAAGCUACCAAUGACAAAAAUCUUGCGCAAGAAAAUAUGCUUAAUUCAAAACAUGCAUUGCCAACAGGAAAACAGGACUCCCAAAUUAUUCUGUGGAACAUUCCCUCUAAUUGCCAGAUAUUCCUACCUAUUAGCAACAUAAAUCUACAAGGUGCUCCCAACAGUAAUUGGCCAAACAUGUCACAUUGUGCCUUCAACUCAACUAACAGUUUAUACAUGCAACAGCAAACUACCUCCUCAGCAGUUGAUCCACAUAAUUCACAACAGUUUAAAACAGUGGACACUACAAGUCUUAACGAAGCUAUAAGAAAUGUGAACACUAGCAACUUGUAUAGCAGGCAGCAACAUGCAAAUGCUCCUACUAAUUUGCCAAAAGACUCCUCAGAAACAAGGCCGAGCUUGCCAUCUGAUCUAAAAUAUUAUCCCCUAACAGAAAACGCACGUCGUGGUCAAAGUAGUUUGAUUGGUGGGUACCCUUACCAGUUGUUAAUUGCUGAGAUGUCAAAUGAUAAUGUAAAGACGCUUUCUACAUGUGUGCAGAACCUGCAACCGAAUAAUGCUGCUCAGAGAGCUGUUGCCGUUGUCACGCCAUUGUCUCCUAUAGGAACAGCACCUGUUAAUGUUUCAGACAAAUCUGUUAAUAUGAAAAUGAAUGUAACGCCUGCGCAAGAGACUGUACACCAUCAACCAAAUAUUCCACAUCCUCUGGUGGCCAACGCUAAUCUGAAGAACCAAACGAGAGAACCAAACAAUCCAACAAGCAAGCAUCAACGACCAAAGUCAGCAGAGCCAAGGCUGAAUGAUAGACUUUGCAAUGUAGUUGGAGCCAAAAGUCCAGUUUUGGCUGAUGAAUCAACUGGCCAAAGUUGCUGCGCAAGUUCGCCGAAGCUGAAAAUUGUGGUUGCAGAACAAAAUAAGUCUGUUCAAACUCAAAUGCAAAAUGAACUGGCUGAAAAGACAAAUAAAAACUGCACCAUCACAGACAAGAAAACUGUUGAACUGGACACUGUUCAUUUUAUUGAAUGGCCAUUAGAUCGAUUGCAGGCCUUAAUGACCGUGAUUCAGCAAAUGGAAGAUGGGGAUCAGAAGAACAUCCAUGAAAUUGAUCCUUGGAGGGACAUCUUAAAGAUUUACUGGAACGAGGAUUUUCACAAGUUUUUUGAAGCUGUACAAAGUGGCAUAUAUCAAAGCAUAAUGAAAGAAGUUUUUGUUUACUGUCCGAUGAAAGAGCCUGUGAUACUGAGGCAAAUUGUAAAUGAUGCACGUAGCAAAGUCAUCGAGAAUUUUCACGUUUUAAAACAAAACGAAGAGCCACCGAAGAUGACGUACAAGUCAUCUUGGCUGAAUCUUAAUGAAAACGUUAAUGACAUCGACAAGGAAUGUGGUCACUCUUGGUUUUAUAAGUCUUUUCAAAAUUUCUCUGAACACGAAGCACAAAACUUGGCAUGUGAAACACCAAGCGAAUUGCAAGAAGCCACUGAAAAACCAUCAUCGAUUAGGUGCAAACAAUUACCUUCAGAGGUGGAGAACAAAGUACCAGCAGACAAACCAACAUCAAACAAUGAGAGUCUAUAUGAAAACGUGCCUGUUUCAUUUAAUGGACAAUCUGCAUCUGUGACUGACAUCAACUGCUCACCAAAGCAUAAUUGUCAGGUUACAGAAGUAACCAACAGUCAACCAAUUAUUACAAAUUCUCUGGAGGCCAUGAUUACUGUUGUGAAGGAUUUUGAUAAACAUGGUGUCCCGACUGGAACAUCCAAUUUGGAUGACCAAUUUUGUAAUGAUGUUAGAGCCAAAAGUGUUGUGUCGCCCAAAUCAACUGGCCAAAGUGACUGUACAAACUCGCCAAAGCCCAUUCAUGUGGUUACAGAAGAACAGGUGAUGGUGUUAUCUUCUCAAAUGCAAGUUGGAUUCAGUGAAAAAAUGCAUAACAAUGGCUGUGCUGUCCUCUAUAAGAAUGUGAGAUGCGAGACCUUGCCAAAACGGAGUCAAGAACUUCGUAUGCACAUGAAUGAAGAGGAGACUGAAAAGAUGUAUGCUUCAGCCACUAAGUUGAUAGAAUAUAAAGUCAUUGCUGCAUUACUAGACAAGCACAAGGCAUCUUUGUUGAACACACCCCAAGAACUUGACACAGUAUCAACAGAAGAACGAACAAGCAGGCAGAGGCUAGAGGAGAAGACCAAAUAUCCAGCAUCUACAUUUCUAAGGACAUUGCUAUCAGCUCCUUAUAAGCCAUCUUUAGCUAAACGUAAACGGGGUGCAACGGAAAUUACAGACAAAGUACAACAAGGAGAACACAUGUCCUCUGAGGAAAGUAGGUACGAUGAGAGAUGUGAAAAAUCUCCUGUUCUCUCGAAUGCUCUAUCUCCACCAGUGAUUGAUCAUUUCUAUCCAAAGCUUAAUGAGCAACAAACAAGUUGUCAACCAAAUACUGUUAAUCUGCUGAAGGGCAUGACAAAUCUGGUGAGGACAUUGGAAAAACGAGAUGUUUCAUUAAAGCAUCAAAACUUCAUUGAAAAACAUGGUGGUUUAAAAAGAAAGCAUAAACGGUUAUCUAGAACAUCAAAACUGGACAAUGGUUUUUGUAAUCGUGUUGGAGCCGAAAGUCCUAUAUUGAUUGAAUCAUCCAGCCAAAGUGACUGCUCAAGUCCACUGACGCUUAGUCCUGUGGUUGAAAAUUGGGAGUUUGUUCCAUUAACUCAAGCGCAAAAUGAAUCCAGCGAAAUGAUGCCUAACAGUGACUUUGAUAAGGCCGUGAGAUAUGAGACUGAUCCAAAACCUUGUCAAGAACUUUCUGUAGAGAAAUCUUCUGUUGAAAUGGAUGCUUCAUCUUCUAUUAAGCUUAUUGUUCUCACUCAGGAAGUGGCUAAACAGUACUUUGCUGAAAAUAAAGACAUUGCUGCAUCACCAAAGACUGCAACAUUAAGGCUGGAUGACCCUGUUUGCAAUCAAGCCAAAAGUCCAGCAUUGGCUGAUGGAUCAACCAGCCAAAUUUACUAUGCAAGUCCGACUAAACUUUAUCCUGUGCUCGCAGGACCAUCUCAAUUGCAAAAUGAGUCUGAUGAAGAAAUGCCUGAAAUUGUCUGUGUACUCUCAGGUGAGUCUGUGAGAUGUGAGACUGAUCCAAAACCUAGUCAAGAACUCCCUGUGCAAAUGAAUAAAGAGGAGGUUGUUGAGAUGGAUGCUUCAACGUCUAUUAAGAUUCAUGUUCUCUCUCACAAAGUGGCUAUGCAAUGCUUUGCUGGUCCAUUAAUGCAAGAUGAAGACACUGCCACACCACCAGUGGUUGUGAAACAAACCUAUUGCCAAUCAAAUAUAAUACAUCCACUGAACACAAUGACACAUCUGGUUAGGGCAGUGGGAAAAUCUGACCUUUUGAAAAACAAGCAUCAAACCUCAACUGCAACAUCAAGGCUUAAUGAGCAUUUUUGUAAUGGAGACAAUCAGUCUGGAUCAGUCAGCUCAGUUGGCUAUGCAAGUCCACUGACACUUCAUCCUGUGCUUGCAGAACCAUCUCCAGUGCAAUCAGAUGAAGAAAUGCCUGAAAUUGACUGUGUACUCGUAGAUAAGAGUGUGAGAUGCGCCACUGAUCCAAAACAUAAUCAAGAACUUCCUGUGCAAAUGAAUGAAGAGAUUGUCAAGUUGGACACUUCAGCUUGUAUGAAGAUUAAUGUUCUCCCUCAUGAAGUGGCUAAGCGCUGCUUUGCUGGUCAAAUAAUGGAAAAUAAAGACAUCGCUGCACCACCAGAGACAAUACACAAGGCCUGCUUGUUGAAUUCACCCCAUGACACAGUAUCAACAAAAGAACAGAUAAACAUGGGGAGGUUGGAAGAAACUGGUGGAGCUGAAAGUCCAGGGUUGACUGAUGGAUCAACAAGCCAAAGUAUCUGUGAAAGUCCACCGAAACUUUGUCCUGUGAUCGCAGAACCAUCUCAAAUACAAAUCAAGUCCAAUGAAGAAAUGCCUGAAAUUGACUGUAUGCUCACAGAUGAGAGAGUGAGAUGCGAGACUGAUCCAAAACCUAGUCAAGAACGUCCUGUGAACAUGAACAAAGAGGAGACUGAGAAGAUUGACCGUUUAAAUUCUAUUAAGGUCAAUGUUCUCCCACAUGAAAUGGCUGAGCUAUGGUUUGCCGGUGAGAUGGAAGAUAAGGACUUGCAGAAAGAUAUUGCACUUCAUAUUGCCACUGAAGACGAGGUGAAAGUUCAAAUCCCGGAACUCCAGUCUGAAAAAGAAGUGCUCCUAAAAGAUGUGAAGCCAAAAGAGUGGAAAUAUCAAAGUUCUGGUGGUGAAAAGGUGGAGUCUUACUGUUGUCUGGCUAAAUGGUUUCAAACGUUAGAAUAUGGAAAUGGCUCAGUGUGCGUGUGCCAGAUAAAAGCUGAUUUGAGAGAAAAGGAGAUUAAAACGGAGGCCCACAGCACAAGUUUAGAGGUGCAGACUAAAAAAGACAGUCCAGGUGAAUGUGAACGAGUGGAAAUGGAUAAUGCUGCUCUUGAAAGAACAGAUGAUUCUGAAAUCACAGACGAUUCUGAGGGCAAAAACCCAUUGUUGCACGAUCCUUCUACGGACAAGGCAAAGAUUGCGAAGGACAUUUCAAGUUCCGAAGAGGUCUGUAAGGUAGAGACUGAAACUUCAGAGCAGAAAAGAAAUGAAUCGCCCACAGAAUGUGCAGCAAACGUGACUCUUAUGAAUGAGAUUAAGCAAGACACCCCGGCUCCUAAUUUGAAGAGGAAGACUAAUACAGUAUGUCUUGCACUGUAUGGGUCGUCUUCUGAAAAAAGAAACAAACUAAAGCGAACUAAAAGAUGCAAAGAGAAAGUAAGUUAUGAAGAACCCCCAAAAACUGUUCAAGUAAUUAUAAACUCUCACCAGGAGAUUAAAGACGAGAGCGAGUCAAAGAAGCGCAGAUGUGUGGAAACAAAAGAUGAAGAUGCUAUGGAUAGGCAAGAGAGAAUACGAAGAGCAAUCUUGCAAAACAUGGCUCAGCAUAAAAUCUUCCCCUUGCGUCCCAUUUUCGGCAAAAAUGGACUUUCAUCUACUUCAGUCAGAAAACUUUUCAGUCCAAAUGCUGUUGUGAAGAGUGACGCCCAUUUGGCUGAAGGAAAUAUGCAAAAGAGACAAUGUAAGAAUGCAACACAAAUGUCUAUGAAUAAAUAUAUAAUCAGAGGGAAGACUGUGCCAUCCAAAUUAUUUCAUUCACCCGAGAAUGUGAGGAAAAGUAAAUAUGAGUUGGGGAACCCUGUUUUGAUGCCAUUGGAUGAGGGUCCUGCUUUGGAAUUCAAAGUAUUGCCAAAGUCUUUUAACUUUGAAGAUGAAGCUGAACUUAAUUGCGCUCAAGGCGACGCAUCACAGAGUACGCGAAAUGGGAUGUCAGGCCCAGAAGAAAAAGCUAAAAGGAUGAAAACUAGCCAUGUGCCAACCCAAGGUGUUUGGAGUUUCAGCCACUUGAAGAAAAAGCACACUCAAUUCAUCCAGUCCACCAAUGUCUCAGGUUUAUGUAGCCUUUUCCAAGAGUUCAAGAAUAAAUAUCAAGAAAGAAAGAAGGACAUUGCCUCCAAGCAGAGCUUGAAUUCCAGUGAAAGAGCUUGA